rnacentral:lncRNA from 1 species
AACAACAGGUUAAGCAGCAGCAUCCCUGUGCACCUGUGUGGGGGUUUUUAUUACUCCUGUGAUAUUUGGGGUUGAUCUUAAUGGGCUGGAAACAGGUCUCCUGCAGAUGAUGCUCAGCUUCAGUCAGAGCACCUUCCCAAGCUGCUGCUGCUGGGAAUGAGCCACCCUGAGGCUCCCACUCCUAAGGGAUAACGUUCCUGUGCGAGCACUGAGCUGCUGCACCCCUUUCCAAGAUUUUUCUUCUUGCCUGGCCUCAGCAGACGUGACCUCCAGUUGUUUUUGCCUUUAGAUGGCUUUUGAAAGCAAACAAGCUUUCAAUCUGGACCUGCACAGCCCCCCCUUUUCUGCGACAGUGUGAAUCCUGGUGGCACCUCUGGGGGUGAUGUUCUCUGGAGGUGGCUGGGCUGGAAGCUCCCCUGUUGGGGGAUGCUGAAAUCCAGGUGUUGGCAGGGGGUGAGAUCCCAAAUGCAGCUCCAGUGAAGGGCUGGAGUACAGCGAUGUGCUGCCCGACUCCUUCCCGUCGGCGCCGGCGGAGACGCUCCCACACUUCCUGCUGGAGCCACAGGACGCCUACAUCGUGAAGAACAAGCCCGUGGAGCUCGUGUGCCGCGCCAACCCCGCCACGCAGAUCUACUUCAAGUGCAACGGAGAGUGGGUCAACCAGAACGACCACGUCACCAAGGAGAGCCUGGAUGAGGUCACCGGGCUGCUGGUGCGGGAGGUGCAGAUCGAGGUGUCCCGGCAGCAGGUGGAGGAGCUGUUUGGCCUGGAGGAUUACUGGUGCCAGUGCGUGGCCUGGAGCUCGGCGGGCACCACCAAGAGCCGCCGGGCUUACGUCCGCAUCGCCUGUGAGUGCCACUCCCGUCUCUGAAGGCUCGCUCCUUCUCCGCUUUCUGAUCAUAUUUGG